UAGGUCAUGCCCUCCUUGCUGUGAGAGGGUCCCGCAGAGCCCUCCCGGCCCCAGUCGGCAAGAGUUAGGAGGAAAGGUCUGAAAAUUUCCAUAGAACCAGAAAGACAAGAUCUAGCAUAGGCUGUGCAAAAAUUUCCAUGGAGACGCUGAUGGCAAAACUGCUCCCCAGUCUGCACCCCGCCUGGAUGGGGAAUUAAAGGAGCUUAUUGAGGUUGGAAGGCAAAUUGGCCCCCAGAGGAGACAACACUUAGAUAAUUGCUUUAAAGGCAAAUGCUAGAGCUAGAAUUCUAAUGAGAAGAGGUGACGCCUCGAGACAGCAGGGCGGCUACUAGACAUCCCAGCUCUGCCCUUUGAAGGAAAGCUGCCUGGUCCCCCAGCUGGGGAACCAUGGUAGCUGGCACUCACCUUCCCCUGGGGGUUUAGGAAGUCAUCUUUUGACAGGAAAGCCAGAGAGAGAGGGAGUGCUGCAGAAGGGGCAUUUGUCCCUCCUGUCCCUACUCCUCCUCCGUAGUGCCCUUCCCUAACCCGCAGACUUGACCGGAAUGGGUUUAGGGGAUGCACAUUGAUGAGUUUACAGAAAGUCAGCAAGAGGAUGCCUGGAGGGCUCGGGGAGGUGAGGAAGUUUGAGUUUAGGAGAAAUCAUAGCACCUGGAGCUGAGGACCACAGACACUGCCCAUUUGGAAAGAAGUUUCUUCCCGAGUCCUGAUGGUCUAGAUUCCUCCAGCCCUGUGCAGGAAACCCAAAGGAGCCCAGGUAAG
rnacentral:lncRNA from 1 species